rnacentral:rRNA from 1 species
UAUGUGAUCGUCUCUCGCAUAUCAAUAAGCGGAGGAAAAGAAACUAACAAGGAUUCCCCUAGUAACGGCGAGUGAAGCGGGAAGAGCUCAAAUUUGAAAUCCUUAAAGGGUUUCCCUUUACGAAUUGUAGUUUAAAGAAGUGUUUUCUGUUGAGGUUUUGGUAAAAGUUCUUUGGAAUAGGACAUCAUAGAGGGUGAGAAUCCCGUAUUUGACCUUUACUUUCAACUUUGUGAUACACUUUCAAAGAGUCGGAUUGUUUGGGAAUGCAGUCCAAAAUGGGUGGUAAAUUUCAUCUAAAGCUAAAUAUUGGCGAGAGACCGAUAGCGAACAAGUACCGUGAGGGAAAGAUGAAAAGAACUUUGAAAAGAGAGUUAAACAGUACGUGAAAUUGUCAAAAGGGAAGCGUUUGACACCAGUGUUGUUUUUCUGAAAAUCAAUUAAAGAACUGUUUAUGCUAAGUUGUUUAGACUUUAUCAGCUAACUGUUUAGUUUUGAGCUUUUCUUUAAUGCACUUUUCAGUUAACAAGUCAACAUCAAUUUCUUUUGCUGUAAAAAAGCUUGAGGAAGGUGGCUUGAGAUUCGUCUUAAGUGUUUAUAGCCUCUUGCCUAUGCAGUCGGAGAGAUUGAGGUCUGCAGCGUAGAUCCUUCGGGGCUAAAUGCAUUUGUGCUAAGUUAUAGCAUUUUAUAGACAACUUGUUGACUAUGAUUUGUCUUGUAGCUUACUCGCUUAUGUUAUUUUACCUACGCUUAGGAUGUUGAAGACUCUACAGAGAU